rnacentral:rRNA from 1 species
AUGGAAUCGGCGGGGAACGACCGGAGGGACGCGGCGCUGGGGAGCCUGGCGGUCCUCCCCGACGAGCUGCUCUGCGCCAUCGUCGACCUCCUCGAGCCCACCGACAUCGGCCGCCUCGCAUGCGUCAGCAGUGUCAUGUACAUACUUUGCAACGAGGAACCUCUCUGGAUGAGUAAAUAUCUUUCUGUUGGUGGUCAUCUUGAGUACAAAGGUUCUUGGAAGAAAACAACAUUGUCUAGGCUUAGUCUUUGCUCCGGAAAUAGUGAGCUUGAGCAGAAGGCUCGUCAUUUUGAUGGAUUCAAUUCCUUGUUCUUAUACAGGAGAUGGUAUAGAUGUUUUACUACUUUGAGUAAUUAUUCCUUUGACAAUGGACAUGUGGAAAGAAAGGAUGACCUUUCUUUGGAUCAUUUCCAUUCUCAGUAUGAUGGAAAAGGCCCAGUUUUGCUUGGUAAGCUGGCUGAAACCUGGCCAGCAAGGACUAAAUGGGCAAUUCAGCAGCUGGUGCAUGAUUAUGGUGAAGUUACAUUUAGGAUAUCACAAAGAAGCCCUAAGAAGAUAAUAAUGAAACUGAAAGACUAUGUUUCUUACAUGGAACUCCAGCAUGAUGAAGAUCCUCUUUAUAUAUUUGAUGAUAAGUUUGGAGAAACAACACCAGCACUAUUGGAAGAUUACAGAGUACCUCAUUUAUUUCAAGAAGAUCUUUUUGGUGUCUUGGAUUAUGAACAAAGACCUGCUUUCAGAUGGCUUAUUAUUGGACCAGAAAGAUCAGGUGCCUCUUGGCAUGUUGAUCCAGGGUUAACCAGUGCGUGGAAUACUCUUCUUUGUGGCCGAAAAAGAUGGGCACUGUACCCUCCAGGAAGAGUGCCUGGUGGUGUCACGGUACAUGUAAGUGAUGAGGAUGGUGAUGUUGACAUUGAGACUCCAACGUCUUUGCAGUGGUGGCUUGAUAUCUAUCCUCAUCUUGCUGAACACGAGAAACCACUGGAAUGCACACAAUUACCAGGAGAGACCAUAUUUGUUCCUAGUGGAUGGUGGCAUUGUGUUCUAAACCUUGAGACUACUGUCGCAGUUACACAAAACUUUGUCAAUCAAUCAAAUUUUGAGCAUGUAUGUCUAGACAUGGCACCUGGUCACUGUCACAAAGGAGUUUGUCGUGCUGGCUUACUUGCUGUUCCAGGAAAAUCUAUUAGAGAUAUUGAAAAUCAUCCGCCUGGAACAAUGAGUGCAUGGAACCACAAUGACAUGACUCGUGCAGAAAAAAGACUGAAAGGUUCAGGGUCCGGAAGAGCUUCAAACAGUGCAAAUCAGUGUGCUUCAUUUGAGUUCUCAGAUGUCCAUGAAAGUUUGGAGAACCAAGUUUUCUCGUAUGAUAUAGGUUUCUUAUCCCAAUUUCUUGAGAAGGAAAAAGAUCACUAUACUUCUGUCUGGAGUCCUACUAAUCCAAUUGGCCAGAGAGAAGCAAGAGAAUGGCUGCGAAGGCUAUGGGUUCUUAAGCCUGAACUGAGAGGACUAAUAUGGAAGGGUGCAUGCCUAGCAAUAAGUGUGGACAAAUGGUAUGCAUGCUUAGAGGAAAUAAGUGCAUGCCAUAGUUUACCACCACCGUCAGAGGAUGAGAAGCUUCCUGUUGGCACAGGUAGCAACCCAGUCUUCAUUGUUUCUGACAAUGUGAUUAAAAUCUAUGCUGAAGGAGGCCUGGGUUAUUCUGCCCAUGGUUUAGGCACAGAGCUUGAGUUCUAUAAUCUUCUGCGAAAAGUUGGCUCGCCUUUGAUCAAUCACGUCCCUGAGAUCAUUGCAAGUGGAUUUCUUGUGUACGAAGAUGGCGUCUACAGAACAGUCCCAUGGGAUGGAAAAGGAAUGCCAGAUGUUUUGGCUAAAUACUAUCCUCUGGAGCUUUCUUACACAAACAGCUGUUUUCCUCUUGGAUUAUGGAGCAAACAGCAGUUUGGAAUGGAUAGUUCCACUGAAUGUUCAAACAAACCUAUUUGGCCUUACAUGGUUACGAGAAAAUGCAAAGGGGAUAUCUUUGCUCGUGUCCGUGAUACAUUGUCCAAGGCUGACCUUUUGAAUCUGGCAUCAUCCUUGGGAGUUCAAAUGCGAAAUAUCCAUUUAUUACCCCUUCCACAUGGGGAACCAUUACCCAAACCUGAAGACAAUAAUGUGAGAGACAGUGAUCCACCUGAAUGGAAACAAGUAAUUUCUACUUUAAACGGAAGAAGGAAUAAUAUAAAGAAGCACCUAGCUAACUGGGGGGGUACUGUCCCAACAGUUUUAAUUGAGAAGGCUGAAGAAUAUCUCCCUGCUGAUAUGAGCUCUCUAAUCAAGUUUGUUAAGGAUGACGAUGGUGACUCAGUGUACACAUUCCCUUGUUGGAUACAUUCAGAUAUUAUGGACGAUAACAUUCUUACUCAGAGGUCCCUCACUGAUGCCAAAAGCACUUGUGAGAGAGAUCUGGAGAAACUGGAUGCAAUUAAUAUAAUUGACUUCAGUGAUCUGUCCAUCGGGGAUCCUCUAUGUGACUUGAUUCCGCUGCACCUGGAUGUUUUCCGUGGGGAUAUUGAUCUUCUCAGGGAGUACCUAAGAAGCUACCAGCUUCCUUUCCUGAGAGGGAAAUCAAACAAUGAUAUCUACAAGUCGGUGCGAAAUUCGAAGUUCAGCACUGCGUCAUAUCGCGCGAUGUGCUACUGCAUGCUGCACGAGGACAACGUGCUGGCAGCUAUAUUCGGGCUGUGGAAAGAGCUGCGAGCUGCAACGUCGUGGGAGGAGGUCGAGCACUUGGUCUGGGAUGACCUUAACCGAUACCAGCAAUCGUCGCCUACACUCUCUAGCUAG